AACGCUGGCGGCGCGCCUAACACAUGCAAGUCGAGCGAGAAAGGGUUCAGCAAUGGCCUGAGUAAAGCGGCGAACGGGUGAGUAACACGUGGGCAACCUGCCCUUCAGUGGGGGAUAACCCGGGGAAACCUGGGCUAAUACCGCAUAACAUUCCGGGGACUUCGGUUCCCGGGAUCAAAGGAGCAAUCCGCUGGAGGAGGGGCCCGCGGCCGAUUAGCUAGUUGGUAGGGUAACGGCCUACCAAGGCCAUGAUCGGUAGCCGGCCUAAGAGGGCGCACGGCCACACUGGGACUGAAACACGGCCCAGACUCCUACGGGAGGCAGCAGUGGGGAAUCUUGCACAAUGGGGGAAACCCUGAUGCAGCGACGCCGCGUGGGUGAUGAAGCUCUUCGGAGUGUAAAGCCCUUUCGGUGGGGAAGAACGCUGCCCGGCGCAGGGCGCCGGCACAGAACCAGAGCGUCGCUCUGGUUUUGUCGGCCGGCGUCGCGCGCCGGGCAGUAGACGGUACCCGCAAAAGAAGCCCCGGCUAACUACGUGCCAGCAGCCGCGGUAAUACGUAGGGGGCCAGCGUUGUUCGGAAUCAUUGGGCGUAAAGGGCGCGUAGGCGGUGCGGUGUGUUCGGUGUGAAAUCUCCCGGCUCAACUGGGAGGGGUCGCCGAAAACUACCGCGCUCGAGUACGGGAGAGGGGAGUGGAAUUCCCGGUGUAGCGGUGAAAUGCGUAGAGAUCGGGAGGAACACCGGCGGCGAAGGCGGCUCCCUGGACCGUUACUGACGCUGAGGCGCGAAAGCUAGGGGAGCAAACAG
rnacentral:rRNA from 1 species